rnacentral:rRNA from 1 species
UACAGAGGGUGCGAGCGUUAAUCGGAAUUACUGGGCGUAAAGCGCACGUAGGUGGCGACGUAAGUCGGGUGUGAAAGCCCCGGGCUCAACCUGGGAAUUGCAUUCGAGACUGCAUUGCUGGAGUACGGAAGAGGAGGGCGGAAUUCCCGGUGUAGCGGUGAAAUGCGUAGAUAUCGGGAGGAACAUCAGUGGCGAAGGCGGCCCUCUGGUCCAGUACUGAUACUCAAGUGCGAAAGCGUGGGGAGCAAACAGG